rnacentral:misc_RNA from 1 species
AACCUAGCACACCUGCGGUGUGUACCUGCGGAAGGAUCAUUAUAAAAAUAUGGUCAAACCAUUCUCCUGUGAUUUACGUAACGUGUAUACUUUGGCAGGCUUUGGGUCAUCUUUGAUCCAUCUUCUACGUUUGUGCUUUACACGCACGAAUGUCUGAAGCUGGCCUGCCAGAGGUUUUCAAUAAACACACACGUUUAAACUACAGUCUGAAAAUCUCUUUCGAGAGAAUAAAAACAAAUG